rnacentral:rRNA from 1 species
AGGUAACGGCUCACCAAGGCGACGAUACAUAGGGGGACUGAGAGGUUAACCCCCCACAUUGGUACUGAGACACGGACCAAACUCCUACGGGAGGCAGCAGUGAGGAAUAUUGGUCAAUGGACGCAAGUCUGAACCAGCCAUGCCGCGUGCAGGAUGACGGCUCUAUGAGUUGUAAACUGCUUUUGUACGAGGGUAAACUCACCUACGUGUAGGUGACUGAAAGUAUCGUACGAAUAAGGAUCGGCUAACUCCGUGCCAGCAGCCGCGGUAAUACGGAGGAUUCAAGCGUUAUCCGGAUUUAUUGGGUUUAAAGGGUGCGUAGGCGGUUAGAUAAGUUAGAGGUGAAAUCCCGGGGCUUAACUCCGAAAUUGCCUCUAAUACUGUUUGACUAGAGAGUAGUUGCGGUAGGCGGAAUGUAUGGUGUAGCGGUGAAAUGCUUAGAGAUCAUACAGAACACCGAUUGCGAAGGCAGCUUACCAAACUAUAUCUGACGUUGAGGCACGAAAGCGUGGGGAGCAAACAGGAUUAGAUACCCUGGUAGUCCACGCAGUAAACGAUGAUAACUCGCUGUCGGCGAUACACAGUCGGUGGCUAAGCGAAAGCGAUAAGUUAUCCACCUGGGGAGUACGUUCGCAAGAAUGAAACUCAAAGGAAUUGACGGGGGCCCGCACAAGCGGAGGAACAUGUGGUUUAAUUCGAUGAUACGCGAGGAACCUUACCCGGGCUUGAAAGUUAGCGACGGAUCUGGAAACAGGUCUUCCCUUCGGGGCGCGAAACUAGGUGCUGCAUGGUUGUCGUCAGCUCGUGCCGUGAGGUGUCGGGUUAAGUCCCAUAACGAGCGCAACCCCUACCGUUAGUUGCCAUCAGGUGAAGCUGGGCACUCUGGCGGGACUGCCGGUGUAAGCCGAGAGGAAGGUGGGGAUGACGUCAAAUCAGCACGGCCCUUACGUCCGGGGCUACACACGUGUUACAAUGGUAGGUACAGAGGGUCGCUACCCCGUGAGGGGAUGCCAAUCUCGAAAGCCUAUCUCAGUUCGGAUUGGAGGCUGAAACCCGCCUCCAUGAAGUUGGAUUCGCUAGUAAUCGCGCAUCAGCCAUGGCGCGGUGAAUACGUUCCCGGGCCUUGUACAC